rnacentral:rRNA from 1 species
GACGAACGCUGGCGGCGUGCCUAAUACAUGCAAGUAGAACGCUGAAGCUUGGUGCUUGCCCCGAGCGGAUGAGUUGCGAACGGGUGAGUAACGCGUAGGUAACCUGCCUGGUAGCGGGGGAUAACUAUUGGAAACGAUAGCUAAUACCGCAUAAGAGUAGAUGUUGCAUGACAUUUGCUUAAAAGGUGCAAUUGCAUCACUACCAGAUGGACCUGCGUUGUAUUAGCUAGUUGGUGAGGUAACGGCUCACCAAGGCAACGAUACAUAGCCGACCUGAGAGGGGGAACGGCCACACCGGGACUGAGACACGGCCCAGACUCCUACGGGAGGCAGCAGGAGGGAAUCUUCGGCAAUGGACGGAAGUCUGACCGAGCAACGCCGCGUGAGUGAAGAAGGGUUUCGGAUCGUAAAGCUCUGUUGUAAGAGAAGAACGAGUGUGAGAGUGGAAAGUUCACACUGUGACGGUAUCUUACCAGAAAGGGACGGCUAACUACGUG